rnacentral:rRNA from 2 species
AGACCCGAAACCCGGUGAUCUAGCCAUGGGCAGGUUGAAGGUUGGGUAACACUAACUGGAGGACCGAACCGACUAAUGUUGAAAAAUUAGCGGAUGACCUGUGGCUGGGGGUGAAAGGCCAAUCAAACCGGGAGAUAGCUGGUUCUCCCCGAAAGCUAUUUAGGUAGCGCCUCGUGAAUUCAUCUCCGGGGGUAGAGCACUGUUUCGGCUAGGGGGCCAUCCCGGCUUACCAACCCGAUGCAAACUGCGAAUACCGGAGAAUGUUAUCACGGGAGACACACGGCGGGUGCUAACGUCCGUCGUGAAGAGGGAAACAACCCAGACCGCCAGCUAAGGUCCCAAAGUCAUGGUUAAGUGGGAAACGAUGUGGGAAGGCCCAGACAGCCAGGAUGUUGGCUUAGAAGCAGCCAUCAUUUAAAGAAAGCGUAAUAGCUCACUGGUCGAGUCGGCCUGCGCGGAAGAUGUAACGGGGCUAAACCAUGCACCGAAGCUGCGGCAGCGACACUCAGGUGUUGUUGGGUAGGGGAGCGUUCUGUAAGCCUGC